CUCCUCCUGAAGCGCCUGGACCUCACAACAUCUGCUUUCCACUGGGGCGAUCGGGCAGAGUACUGAGAUUCCAGUACUACACCACCUCAGCCAGCUCUCCACCCCAGCACAUGCACCUUGGAGAAGGCAGCCCCUCUGAAGCACACAGAGACCCUGAGUAGGGGUGAGCUCUUGGGCACCUUCUCCAUGUAAGCCCUUCCCCUGCUCUAGGCCCACAGUGAGGUCAUGAAGGCAGUGCUCUGCCCAAUCCGAGGGCUUCUGACUCCAGAGUCUGAUGUCUCUACCGCACAUGUUCUGGCUGCCCGAGCUGACCUUUCUCGCCUGGUCCCAGCUACCAGUGUGGCUGCCCGACGAGGGACCAGCUGUGCAAUCAACAAGGUGCUUAUGGGUGAUGUGCCAGACCGUGGGGGGCGCCCAAGCGAGCUGGAGGCUCCCAUGCCUACCUGGAAGAGCCGAAGAGAGGAUGGAGGAAGGGGGAAAGCUGGCCAGCAGCGCUGGGGCCGCAGAAAGAAGAAGAAGUAAAGGGCCUUCCAGGGUCCUAAAUGCCCUACACCCAGCCACCACUCCACACCAUGAACCAUGAACUACGAACUGUGUUGUGUGAAAAAUAAAUUUAAUUCUUUUGAUUGU
rnacentral:lncRNA from 1 species